GAGCGAACGGACGAGAAGCUUGCUUCUCUGAUGUUAGCGGCGGACGGGUGAGUAACACGUGGAUAACCUACCUAUAAGACUGGGAUAACUUCGGGAAACCGGAGCUAAUACCGGAUAAUAUUUUGAACCGCAUGAUUCAAAAGUGAAAGACGGUCUCGCUGUCACUUAUAGAUGGAUCCGCGCUGCAUUAACUAGUUGGUAAGGUAACGGCUUACCAAGGCAACGAUGCAUAGCCGACCUGAGAGGGUGAUCGGCCACACUGGAACUGAGACACGGUCCAGACUCCUACGGGAGGCAGCAGUAGGGAAUCUUCCGCAAUGGGCGAAAGCCUGACGGAGCAACGCCGCGUGAGUGAUGAAGGUCUUCGGAUCGUAAAACUCUGUUAUUAGGGAAGAACAUAUGUGUAAGUAACUGUGCACAUCUUGACGGUACCUAAUCAGAAAGCCACGGCUAACUACGUGCCAGCAGCCGCGGUAAUACGUAGGUGGCAAGCGUUAUCCGGAAUUAUUGGGCGUAAAGCGCGCGUAGGCGGUUUUUUAAGUCUGAUGUGAAAGCCCACGGCUCAACCGUGGAGGGUCAUUGGAAACUGGAAAACUUGAGUGCAGAAGAGGAAAGUGGAAUUCCAUGUGUAGCGGUGAAAUGCGCAGAGAUAUGGAGGAACACCAGUGGCGAAGGCGACUUUCUGGUCUGUAACUGACGCUGAUGUGCGAAAGCGUGGGGAUCAAACAGGAUUAGAUACCCUGGUAGUCCACGCCGUAAACGAUGAGUGCUAAGUGUUAGGGGGUUUCCGCCCCUUAGUGCUGCAGCUAACGCAUU
rnacentral:rRNA from 1 species